rnacentral:rRNA from 1 species
UGGGGAAUAUUGCGCAAUGGGGGAAACCCUGACGCAGCGACGCCGCGUGUGGGAUGAAGGUCUUCGGAUUGUAAACCACUGUCGCGAGGGACGAAGCUCUGAUGGUACCUCGAAAGGAAGCACCGGCUAACUCUGUGCCAGCAGCCGCGGUAAUACAGAGGGUGCGAGCGUUGUCCGGAAUCACUGGGCGUAAAGGGCGCGUAGGCGGCCCGGUAAGUAGGGGGUGAAAUCUCAUGGCUCAACUGUGAGGCUGCCUUCUAGACUGCCAGGCUUGAGCACAGUAGAGGCGAGUGGAAUUCCCGGUGUAGCGGUGGAAUGCGUAGAGAUCGGGAAGAACAUCGGUGGCGAAGGCGGCUCGCUGGGCUGUUGCUGACGCUGAGGCGCGAAAGCGUGGGGAGCAAACAGGAUUAGAUACCCAAGUAGUCCCUGAGCGGGCUGGCAAGGCGCAU